AUACGGAGGAUGCAAGCGUUAUCCGGAUUUAUUGGGUUUAAAGGGUGCGUAGGCGGAUGAUUAAGCGUGAGGUGAAAUGCCACUGCUCAACAGUGGAACUGCCUCGCGAACUGGUUGUCUUGAAUGCUCCUGCCGUGGGAGGAAUGUGUGGUGUAGCGGUGAAAUGCAUAGAGAUCACACAGAACACCGAUUGCGAAGGCAUCUCACGAAGGGGUGAUUGACGCUGAGGCACGAAAGCGUGGGGAUAAAACAGGAUUAGAUACCCUGGUAGUCCACGCCGUAAACGAUGAUGGCUAACCGCUGGGCUUAUCAGUUCAGUGGCCAAGCGAAAGCGAUAAGCCAUCCACCUGGGGAGUACGACCGCAAGGUUGAAACUCAAAUGAAUUGACGGGG
rnacentral:rRNA from 1 species